rfam:Skermanella aerolata KACC 11604 strain 5416T-32 contig16, whole genome shotgun sequence.
UCCCGGGUCCGGGCCCCUCUGGCGGUUGCUCAGUCGACGCUUCCGCGAUGUCGGACUCCUUGU